rnacentral:rRNA from 1 species
AGAAUCAACGCUGGCGGCGUGCCUAACACAUGCAAGUCGAACGCGAAAGUCCCGCAAGGGAUCAGUAGAGUGGCAAACGGGUGAGUAACACGUGGGUGACCUGCCUUCGAGCGGGGGAUAACGUCCCGAAAGGGACGCUAAUACCGCAUGACAUCCUGCCUUUGAAGAGGUGGAGAUCAAAGCUGGGGAUCGCAAGACCUAGCACUCGAAGAGGGGCCCGCGCCUGAUUAGCUAGUUGGUGAGGUAACGGCUCACCAAGGCAACGAUCAGUA